GAAAUGCGAUAAGUAAUGUGAAUUGCAGAAUUCAGUGAACCAUCGAACCUUUGAACGCACAUUGCGCCCCCCGGCACCCCGGGGGGCACGCCCGUCCGAGCGUCAGUGCGCCCACUCAGGCCAGGCCGGGCGGCGGGCCCCGCGGGGGGCGCCCAGCCGGGCGCCCCGCGCGGGCCCGAGACGCGUUGGCGGCCCGCCCCGGCCGGGAGCGAACGAGGAGGCCACCGGCCGCCCCGCUCCCGCGCCCGGGCGCGGCCGCCCCAUCAACCAACCGAACCACGCGGUUGACCUCGGAUCGGGCGGGGCUACCCGCUGAACUUAA
rnacentral:misc_RNA from 1 species